UUUUUUUUUUUUUCUAUUUAGGGCUGCACCUGCGGCACAUGGAGGUUCCCAGGCUAAGGGCUGAAUCGGAGCUGCAGCUGCUGACCUACACCACUGCCACAGUAACACCAGAUCUGAGCCUCGUCUUCGACCUACACCACAGCUCACAGCAACGCCAGAUCCUUAACCCACUGAGCAAGGCCAGGGAUCGAACCUACGACCUCAUGCAUGUUGGUCAGGUUUGUUACCUCUGCGCUGCCACAGGAACUCCCAAGAGGACAUGGGUUUGAGUCCAGCACUGCCAUUUAGGGGCCGUUGAUCAUGGUGAAUUCAGUCGCCCUCUCUGGGCCCCAAGUUCCUCCUCCAUAAAUGGAGAAUACGCAUUAAUUUUCACAGUAUGAAAAAAAUCUAAACUUUUCAAAAUCGGGUUAGCAAUGUAAUUAUUUUUUACAAAGAAAAUGUUUCCCUUAUUCCUUUAGGGUAAUUACAUAUUACAUGAUUGGCAAAUAAUUUGCCAAAAAAAAUACUGAAAAGAAGAAUCAGAGACAAAAGCAUUUAAAAAAUAAGUCAUUUACCUGCAAAAAAAAGUUUCACAAGGGAGUCUAAAUUUUAGAACAGUGGUCCUCAUCUUUGGGUGUAUAUUAGAAUUUCUUGGGAAAUUUUUAAAAUUCUUAUUGCCCUGCCUACCUGGACCAGCUAAACCAUAAUUUCAGAGGGGUAGAACACACAAACAAAUAGUUUUUGAAAUCCCCUACAUGGGAAUGUAAAUUGAUACAACCAACACGGAAAACAGCAUGGAGCUACUUCAGGGAAAUAAAUAUAGAACUACCAUAUGACUCAGCAAUCCCACUCCUGGACAUGUAUCCGGACAAAGCUUUCCUUGAAAAAGACAUGUGCACCCAUAUGUUCAUUGCAGCACUCUUCACAAUAGCCAAGACAUGGAAACAACCUAAAUGUUCAUUGACAGAUGAAUGGAUUAAGAAGACGUGGCAUAUACACACAAUGGAAUACUACUCGGCCAUAAAAAAGAACAAAAUAAUGCCAUUUGCAGCAACAUGGAUGGUACUAGAGAGUCUCUACUAAAUGAAGUAAGUCAGAAAGAGAAAGACAAAUACCAUAUGAUAUCACUUAUAUCUGGAAUCUAAUACUUGGCACACAUGAACUUUUCCACAGAAAAGAAAAUCAUGGACUCAGAGAACAGACUUGUGGUUGCCUAGGGGGAGGGGAAGGGAAUGGGAUGGACUGGGAAUCUGGGGUUAAUAGAUGCAAACUAUGGCAUUUGGAGUGGGCAAGCAAUGAGGUCCUGCUGUACCGCACAGGGAACUAUAGUCACUUGUGGUGGAGCAGGAAGGAGGAUAAUGUGGAAAAAGAAUGUACAUAUAUGUGUGACUGGGUCGCUUUGCUGUACAGUCAAAAUUGACAGAACACUGUAAAUCAACUAUAAUGGAAAAAAUAAAAAUCCUAAAAAAACCUCCCCACAUGAUUCCAGUGUGAACCCUGACUGGGAAUCAGAGUUCCAGAAGGAGUGCUCUCACCAAAUCAAAAAAUAUUCAAAACCACAGGUAUGUAAAGAAAAAACACAGAUGGCAGGUUAUUCACUCCUGCUGAGAAAAGAGCAGUUUUCACAAAGGACUAGCCGACGUGCAGAGUUACAGACAGAUAUCAGCCAUUGUCAAGGUCUGGAUAAGGCUGUUUGGCAAGGAAUUAGGGAGUUCCAGCACCUGGCUUAAGAUCUCAUUUAGUGGGGACUAGAUGGCGACAGGGGGACCCUGAUAAUGCUCAUGGCAGUCUGCUCCCCCCGUCCCCGGCCUGUUCCGGGGGAAAUACAUACUUACAAAGCAGAGCAAGAGGUCAGCUUUACUUUUUCAUAAGGAAAUAGGUGACGCUCAUAUUUAAUGUCCCUCUCAACUUCAAAACCACUCCCAAGAAGUGACCACCGAUAUUGUAGAUGUAAUGCUGUGCUUAUACAGAUUACACACACACACACACACCACACUACAACACAGGCAUACACAUAACACUUGCACACACAAGCCUACACACACACACACACACACACACACACACACUUGGGACUUUCACUGAGCACUUUAUUGUGGCCUUCCUCCCGUGUCAGGACAUCAGAUUUAUCUCAUUUUUAACAGAUGCAUAGUUCUCUUGUCCUGUAUAUAAUGGAUUAUUUGGAUAUUCAAAUAAUCAAUUUACAAUUGUUAGUAAAAUCUUCCCUCACUUUUUCCAUUUCAUAUAAUACUGCAAUAAACUCACUUGUUUGUUUUUUUGUUUGUUUGUUUGUUUUUUUGUCCUUUUUGCUAUUUCUUGGGCCGCUCCCGAGGCAUAUAGAGGUUCCCAGGUCGAAUCGGAGCUGUAACCACCGGCCUACGCCAGAGCCACAGCAACGCGGGAUCCGAGCGGCGUCUGCAACCUACACCACAGCUCACGGCAACGCCAGAUCGUUAACCCACUGAGCAAGGGCAGGGACCGAACCCACAACCUCAUGGUUCCUAGUCGGAUUAGUUAACCACUGCUCCAAGAUGGGAACUCCCCACUUGUUUGUUGAUCGUUAGCUUUUUAGCAAACACAGUUCGAGGAGAGAGUCCUCGAGGUGUGAGCGCUAUGUUCAAAAGCAGACACUGUCCAAUCGCCCUCCAAAUGCCUGCAGCCAAUGACAUUUCUCCAAAUAAUACAAAGCGCCUGUUUCCCACACUCUCUUCAAGGCUGGUCUUUCUGUUUUUUACUGGCUCACUUAGGGGGUGUGUACAAGGCUCUGCGAAUAACGAAAUGCAGUUCCGAGGCGAGGUAUUCCGACCAGUGACUUGGCUGAAAGGACCCGCAUCAAAAGUAGCUGCCAGCCUCUGAGGCCAGCACAGUCAGACAGAGGCUUCUGUUCUGUGUCAGGUUGUUUUCUGUAAAUACUGCUUUCGGGCUUAGAACCUAAUUUCUUAGGCCAUGAUGUCAGUCUUCCAGGGUAACAGGGCUGUAAAUAAGGAGUGAGAGGGAGGGACCCUCUGGCAGAGGCAGCUGUCCUUAUCCUCAGAGCUUUUCUGCAAAAGAACUGCCCAGCACAGCAGACAGGCCCACUGGGGCCACCUGCAACGGUAGUUUGCGUGCACCCGGCAGGGAGAGCUCUGGGAGGGCGUCCCAUCUGCUCUGUCUUCAGUCUUUAUUCCAUCUCCUUUCCAGGACCUCCGAGACGUCUCACUUUCACCAUUCAUUCGGGGCGCUGGGAGGCGGAGGCCUCAGCAUUUCCUAACUUAUUUUUUUAUGAAGCACUCGCCUCACCCAGUAGACUGAGAGUGUGCUCCCCGUUGACCUCGGCUCAGAAAGAAGGGAAGUCCGAUGCUAAGUUCCUCUUCCUCUACCACGGGCUCCACGCACCCCAAGACCCCCCGGGAGGUGCCGAUCCUCCUUCGGAACCGGAGCACAAGGACCGUCUUUCAUGCUCUUUUCUUGGUAGAACCUGACCUGUUGCAGAGCCAAGCACCCCGCCUCUGUCUUGGGCACGCGACAGUCAGCCCUCGGGAACUUAGGUCCAGCCCAGUAAUGGACUUGUUGGCAUCCCCUCAUCUCCCAGUUAUGAAUUCCUUGGGUCCCGUGUGUCUCUACGUUCCAGUUGGUAGCACCGAACGAGUCUGCUGAAUGGAUUUUCCCUUAGUUUGAAUCCCUGCCUGGUUUGGCCAUAAGAAAACAAAUACCAUUCACAGGGUGUGUGACAUAGACGCUGGUGCUCCCCAAUUAUUCCAUGAGAUCCUGCAUAUUUUCCAGCCUUCCUGGCACUUAGCAUGGGGCCAGGUGACGAAUUCAAGUUCACGGGCACAAGGGGGAGUGAAGCAAUGCACAGCAUUUGCCACCCGAGGACACCGAGGAGGUUGAAAGCUGCACGCAUCUGCCGCGGUGGCUGGAAGCGAAGAACACUGAGACGGCGAAGGGGCCACAGAGAGCAUCUCUAAUGCGCACCACUGCUGAAAGGCGGCCACCAGAGAGGACGGGCUGAGCUGUAUCGGACUGCUCCGAAAGUGACAAAUAAGCCUCUGGCUUUGGAGGUUUGCUGCCACAGCAAAACUUAGCUUUACCCUGACCAACCACGGGUGAGUUUCACAAGCUGAAAGUGUAAGGAGGAGACAAGCUUGUGGAAUAUGACAGCAUCACUGGCUAGCAACAUCUUCUGAUAUCCUGGAAUUAGUCGGGAUGGGCCAUGGAUCUGGAUCUGAAACUUUUAAAUCGAAAUGGGGACAAGAGCAUCCCUAUGACGUCAUUGGAGAAUCUGAGGCAUAGAGAAGCGAAGGGAUGGGCUUCUCGGAUUAGGAGUGAGCGAAGCAUGAGAAGAGAGACCUCAAUUUCCCCUGGGCUGUUUCCCACCCUUCCUAGUUGGGAUUUCUCCUCCCCCAGCAUUUGUGCCCUUUGGGUUAGUAUUCUAGGCAUGAGACUGACCUAUUUCGAAGUGGGACAGGUUGGCAUCUCUAAAGCGGGUUCCACAGAAGACUCUGUUUUGAAGCAACAUGGUGGUAAAGAGGUUAACAUUGAAUGGGAGUUUUACUUCCAGGCAGGGAUCUCGAGCCCUGGCGGAAAGACUGCAGCUGCCCUGUGGCCCAGAUAAUGCAACAUCGGGCUGAGCAAGGACAUCUGAGAACAUUCUGUUCUCCUCCCCCGAGACCAAUUAAAAUCUGGAGGCAUCUUUCUUGUUGAUCGAGCUGACUAACUAAUUGAAACGGAAUUGUGAUAUUUUCAUCAGCUUUCUCUUAUCCCUCUUGGCCUUGCCAGCAGAGAGCAAGCUGAAUGAUCAGAGAGUUUCAAGCAUGUGAGGCCCAGGGAACGGAACCCCUCCCACCGUAAACCACUACAUUACCACGGAACAAGGUUCGAAAAAGGAUGAUGCGGGGUUGGGAGUAGGGCGAUACGCUCAAAUCUCAGUCUCAGUUCAUCCAGAUACCAAAGAUACCAUCUUCGGGAUUCCUGAUGAACCAUAAAGCUGUCCUUCAGCAGUUGCUGCUCCAAUAAACCAGCUUCUGACCUCUGCCUUCCUAACGAACAUCCCUCUGCCUGACUGGGGAAGCUCCUAGAAACAAAGAACCAAACGCCUCUGAGGCCCAACAAGAUCCCUUUCCUUCCAUUGAGCUAGAAUGUA
rnacentral:lncRNA from 1 species